rnacentral:rRNA from 1 species
GAUGAACGCUGGCGGCGUGCCUAAUACAUGCAAGUCGAGCGAACAGACGAGGAGAUUGCUCGUCUGACGUGAGCGGCGGACGGGUGAGUAACACGUGGAUAACCGACCGAUAAGACUGGGAUAACGUCGGGAAACCGGAGCUAAUACCGGAUAAGAUGUUGAAAGGCAGGGUUCAAUAGGGAAAGACGGUUUUGAUGUGACGUAUAGAUGGAUCCGCGCCGCAUUAGGUAGUUGGUACGGUAACGGCCUACCAAGGCAACGAUGCGUAGCCGACCUGAGAGGGCGACCAGCCACACUGGAACUGAGACACGGCCCAGACUCCUACGGGAGGCAGCAGUAGGGAAUUUUCCGCAAUGGGCGCAAGCCUGACCGAGCCACGCCGCGUGCGGGACGAAGGUCUUCGGGUCGUAAACCGCUGUUAUUCGGGACGAACAAACGCUGACUAAAACAUGCACCUCAUGACGGUACCUAAUGAAAAAGCCCCGGCUAACUACGUG